rnacentral:misc_RNA from 1 species
CUUGAAGAUGAGCAGAGGAAAAUUGUCACCGCUAACUCAGUUUUGAGGAAGAAAGAAGAUGAUAUGGGCAGCAAGAUAGAAGAUCUUACUCACAAGGAGAAGGAACUUGAAGAUGAGCAGAGGAAAAUUGUCACCGCUAACUCAGUUUUGAGGAAGAAAGAAGAUGAUAUGGGCAGCAAGAUAGAAGAUCUUACUCACAAGGAGAAGGAACUUGAAGAUGCGAGAAAGAGUUUGGGGAUAAAAGAGAGGGAGUUGCUAGAUCUACAGGAGAAACUAAAUAUUAAAGAGAGAGAUGGUAUUCAAAAUCUAAUGGAUGAACAUCGAAGUGUCCUGCGUUCCAAGGAAAAGGAAUUUGAAUUGGAACUGUGGCAGAGGCGGGCAUCAUUGGAUGAGGAGCUGAAAGGUAAGGUGCUUGAACUGGAGAAAAAGGAGGCUGAAGUUAAUCACAUGGAAGAGAAGAUUAAGAAACGAGAACAGGUCGUUGAAAAGAAAACGGAAAAAGUAAAAGAGAAGGAGAAGGAUCAUGAGUUGAAGUUAAAAGCACUGAAGGAAAAGGAGAAAUCUUUGAAAAAUGAGGAAAAAAUUUUGGGAACUGAAAGGAAGCAACUAGAUUCUGAGAAGGGG